UGGGGAAUAUUGCACAAUGGGGGAAACCCUGAUGCAGCGACGCCGCGUGAGCGAUGAAGGCUUUCGAGUCGUAAAGCUCUGUCCUAUGGGAAGAUAAUGACGGUACCAUAGAAGAAAGCCCCGGCUAAUUACGUGCCAGCAGCCGCGGUAAUACGUAAGGGGCGAGCGUUGUCCGGAAUUAUUGGGCGUAAAGAGUGCGUAGGCGGCAAAUUAAGUCAGAUGUGAAAACUAAGGGCUCAACCCAUAGAUUGCAUCUGAAACUGAUAUGCUUGAGUCAAGGAGAUGAAAGUGGAAUUCCUAGUGUAGCGGUGGAAUGCGUAGAUAUUAGGAGGAAUACCGGUGGCGAAGGCGACUUUCUGGACUUGAACUGACGCUGAGGCACGAAAGCGUGGGGAGCAAACAGG
rnacentral:rRNA from 1 species